AAUCAACGCUGGCGGCGUGCCUCAGACAUGCAAGUCGAACGAUUAAAGCUCUCUUCGGAGAGUGUAUAGAGUGGCGCACGGGUGAGUAACACGUAAGUAAUCUACCUUUGGGUGGGGAAUAACAGUCGGAAACGACUGCUAAUACCGCAUAAUGCAGCGGCACCGCAAGGUGACAGUUGUUAAAGGAGCAAUUCGCUUAAAGAGGAGCUUGCGGCAGAUAGCUUGUUGGUAAGGUAACGGCUUACCAAGGCUACGAUCUGUAUCCGGUCUUAGAGGACGGUCGGACACACU
rnacentral:rRNA from 1 species